UACGGGGGGGGCAAGCGUUGUUCGGAAUUACUGGGCGUAAAGGGCUCGUAGGCGGCCAACUAAGUCAGACGUGAAAUCCCUCGGCUUAACCGGGGAACUGCGUCUGAUACUGGAUGGCUUGAGAUUGGGAGAGGGAUGCGGAAUUCCAGGUGUAGCGGUGAAAUGCGUAGAUAUCUGGAGGAACACCUGCGGCGAAGGCGGGUUGCUGGGCCGACACUGACGCUGAUGCGCGAAAGCCAGGGGAGCGAACGGG
rnacentral:rRNA from 1 species